rnacentral:lncRNA from 1 species
AACAGGAAGAGACGGAGCCUCAGGGGAUAGCUCAGUAAUGGUAGCUACAAUGAACUCCUGCUGUUUCUAUUUUUGGUCUCGAGGAACCUCUCAAAUAUAAUAAAAUGAAACUAAAAAACUUCAUAUAAUUCAAAUUGAGAACAAUAACAAUCAUUACUGCAACAUAGAAUUGGUAAAAAAUCCAAAAAAAAGCUAAAGAACCCUAACAGAGUAAUGUUCAAGUGGAGGAGCAGAUUCUCAGAACUUCAAAGAAGAGGGUCACCACUUCGUUCAUAAAAUUUAG